UCCUCAAUUAAAUUAUUUGAGGUAUUGCCUGCUCAAUGCGUGAGUAAAUAGCCGCAGUACUCUGACUGUGCAAAGGUAGCAUAAUAAAUUGGCCUUUAAUUGAGGUCUGGAAUGAAUGGUUUGACGAGGAUCUAACUGUCUUAAGAUGAAAGUUUUUGAAUUUUAAUUGUUUGUAAAAAUGCAAACAUAUAUGAGAGGGACGAGAAGACCCUAUAGAUCUUUUUAAUAAAUUAUUUGUUUAAUACAGUGACUGAUAAUUUUUUUUAUUUGGGGAAAAUCUUGAAAUGAGAAACUUCAGUUAAAUAGGAGAACAAAAGAGGAAAUGACUGAUUUUUGAUCCACUAAUUGUGAAAGAAUGAAAAAGUUACCUUAGGGAUAACAGGACAAUGAUCUUCUAGAAGACCUUAUUUUAGGAGACGUUUGUUACCUCGAUGUUGAAUUAAGUUAUCUAAUUAAAGGAGAGAUUCUUAUAGUUGGUCUGUUCGACCAUUAAAAAC
rnacentral:rRNA from 1 species